UUUACCUCCUAUCAACAACUGAUAUAAAAUGCCUCUGAUUUUCCACUUUCCUCUCUAUAAUUUGCAAAAUGGAUCCAAAAUCUCUCAGAUUUCCACCCUUUCUCUUUCAUUUCUGAACAUUGCUCUCAAAGCUCAGGUUUUGCCUCUUUCUAUGUCAUUAUCAAAUGUCAGUUAAAAAUCCUCUCGGAUUUGGGGCUGUUCCCCGUGUUUCCAAAUUCCAGCAACUUCUUCCUUCGAGGGAACCUGUUGCCCCGAGUUCUUCUCCAUCCUGGAUGUUGUAGGGGGUUAAAUUGCCCAGAGAUCAUCUUUCCCAUCUCCUUUGUGAAUCAUUUGUUCCCUCCUUUAUCUCUGUUAAAAUGUUUGCUGAAGAAAGAGACCAGCCAGAUACUUAAUACACAUCAAAGCCAGAGGCCUCCCCCUGUUUGGAGGAUCAGUGGUUCCCAGCUGGUAAUGGGAGAGCUGGCUGGACCCUUUUCUUUUCUCCAGCUAGCACGGGAUGAGGAGGUCACUCUGAGUGCAGUGUGAGUUGAGAAGUAUCCCAAACCCCAUGGCAAAUGGCCUCUAUGAGGGGUUGUUUCCUGCAGUGCUAAGAUGUAGCCACCUCUGGGGUGGAUCCAUUGUGUCCAUUAUUUGCUAGUGACAGGCCAUGGACAUUUCUUACCUAUUUUGUCCCUCCAGGCCUUCCAUUCUCCUGUUAAAGAAGCACCCCCCAGGCUCCCUCUGCCUGUGUGACUUGCCAGCAGGGGGCAGUGAUAACUUUCUAUUCACUUAUCAGGCACUGUGAGACAGGCUGCAGAAUGACGUCCAUGUUUUGCUCCAGCUCAUCCCAGCCUGGCAUGGGACAGGGAAGAAAAAUGGCUGCAGUGGAGCCAACUCAGGUAGAGAUUAUUGGGGCGUUGCUGGUGGGUUCCUGCUGGAGGAGAGGGAGAGCAAAUACACCGGUAGUGGGAAGGUUUGCACAGUCUGGUUUGGAGCCUGGAGCCGGGCAGAAAAUUCACAGCAUGGGGAAAGGAGGAGGCCAGGGUGUGGCAAACCUGCUGGGAGUUAUUUAAUAAGUGGCCUAGAUUCUAGGAACAGACCCAGGAGGUUAGGAAGUGGAAUUGCCCUAAUUUGUGAAGAGU